UUCAUUGUGCAGGAUUGUUCGGUGCAUUUGACAAAUAAACGUUUAAACUUAAUUUGCUAUCGUAUUCUAGUUUUUUGUCCAAAUCAACUAGCAGGCUACAAAUAUAUUAAUUACUGUUAAAUCAUGUCUUUUGUAGAUAACUAAACACACAAGUGUGUUCCAAGCACUUUACAGUAGAAAGCUUUGUGAAAACACUGUGAAAACACUGACCGGAGUGGUGAAGUUGAAGAAGGGUUCAGUUCCAUCACUGUUUUCUUGGAGCCAACUUCAAGAAUCAAGGAAUACAAGGAGAUCUACUGGUGACCACAUCAGUGAAAUAAAGGAAAAACACAAGCUUGAAUCAAGGUUCUUGAUGCUGUAUCCGGAUCAUGAUUACGCUGUGACGCCUCUGACUUCGGAGAGCCAACUUGAGGCAGCACAGAAGAUUUCUUAGCUUAGUCUGGAUAACAAUACAUUAGGAGCCAGCAAUUUCUACUUCAGCGUUUCCAGUGUGACUCCGAGCUAAUCUUCUUCUACACUGGUUUCAAGGGCUAUGACACCCUUAGGGCUGUCUACCUGUCCCCACAGCCAACAGACGAGUGCAUGCUGAGAUGGAGUCAGGUAGAGGUUGACUGGUGCCUGCAAAAGCACACAGAGAUCUGGAUUUAGAGCACCAUACUUGUGCCUCAUAAACAAGCUCUUCAUGGUUCUGUGCCGUGUGAGGCGCAGGA